rnacentral:lncRNA from 1 species
UGGACAGGGAGGCCUGGCGUGCUGUGAUUCACGGGGGUCGCAAAGAGUCGGACACGACUGAGCGACUGAACUACUCUAGUAACCUCAUCUUAACUAAUUAAAUCUGCAAAGACUCUGAUAAUGUCCUGCCUUCUUUCACAUGUGACCCUCAGGAAUUUGAUGACCCCACCCAGACAAUCCAGGAUAAUCUCUCCAACUCUAGAUUCUUAAUUUAGUCACCUGUGCGAAGUCCCUUUUGUGGUGUUAGGUUACAUAGUCACAGGCCUUAGGGAUUGGCUGUCUUUAGUAGGCAAUUAUUCUACUUGCCAGAGGGAUGCAAACCAAUUGUGAGAGAACAAAAGAACAAAAGUGAUUUACCUCUGCUUGAGGAAGUAUUGGGAAAGACUUCAGGAUUUGAGCUUUUAGGAUUAGUGAGUGAUUCCUAGGAGUAACAAAAAUGAAGAUAGACUUUCUCAACAGAAAGACUACAGCAUGAAAACGUAUUAUGUGUGUCCGGAGAAAUACAGAAAUAUAUUAAUUUUGUCAUUCAAAGCAAGAUAUAAGUACAAUAAGAAAAAAUUAGAUGGGAAAAUCAGAUGGAAAAGAGGGCAUGUGAACUGAGUUCUGAGGAAGUAGUAAUAUUUAAACAAUUUGAAUGGGAUCCAAAGGAAGAAGAGGUUAGAGGAAACUGGAAAUAAAGAGAGAAUUCCAGGAGGUGGCAGAAACACUACCAGCAAAGGCAUGGAAAUAGAAACAAUUGGGCAUAUUCAUUUAGACUCCAUCCUAGGGAAUGCAAAGAAUGUAUUGGGAAAUAAGGUCAUCCAAAGUUUCUAUUAGUCUCAAAGUUGAUGCUUCAGGACUCAAAAACAAAAAGGUAAGAUAGAAGAAAAGACUCAUUUGGGGAAAAUACAUUUUUGUCUAAGUAUUGUUUCUAAACAUGUUCAUCCUAACUUUGAAAUUUUUCCAUUAUUAUGGAAAAUUUUUCCUGUUACUAAGUUUUUCACACUUUUUCCCAUUACUAUGUCAAUAAUCUUGGGCUUUCCUGGUGGCUCAGUGGUAAAGAAUCCACCUGCAAAGCAGGAGACUCAGGUUCAGUCCCUGGGUCAGGAAGAUCCCCUAGAAAAGGAAGUGGAAACCUGCUUCAGUAUUCUUGCCUGGGAAAUUCUAUAGACAGAGAAACCUGGCAGGCUAUAUAGGCCAUAGUGACCAAAACAACAAUGUCAAUAAUCCAAUAAUUAUCCUUUAAAGAGUUGGCUUAAAGCUCAACAUUCAGAAAACUAAGAUUAUGGCAUCU